UGCUGGAUAGCUCAGUGGGUCAGAGUGUAGUGCUGAUAAUGCCAAGGUUGCAGGUUUGAUCCCUAUACAGUGCAGCAG
rnacentral:tRNA from 1 species